UACGUAGGGUGCGAGCGUUGUCCGGAAUUUAUUGGGCGUAAAGGGCUCGUAGGCGGUUUUGUCGCGUCGGGAGUGAAAACCUCGGGCUUUAACUCGGGGCUUGCUUUCGAUACGGGGCAGACUAGAGGUAUGCAGGGGAGAACGGAAUUCCUGGUGUAGCGGUGAAUGACGCAGAUAUCAGGAGGAACACCGGUGGCGAAGGCGGUUCUCUGGGCAUGAUCUGACGCUGAGGCGCGAAAGCUAGGGUAGCAAACGGG
rnacentral:rRNA from 1 species